UACUAAUUAUUUUAUUCUAGUUUCAGGCCGUCUCGUGAUCGCUCCACCAAGAUGUGCCAAAUAGGUGAAAGUCACCGUAUUUUCGUAUCGAUACCAUCACCAUCCGCGAGAACCCGAGAUCAACCGCUUUAGAACCGGUAUGACCUAGGUCACGACCAAUUAUGUGCUGUACUAAUUAUCUAAUUAUUAUGCAACUAACUUUAUUCUAAAUUUUAGGCCGGCUCUAGAGAUUCUGAGCCACUCCGAACCAGAGGAUAUCAGCGAGCGCGGCAGCACAGGGAACGGAUUGGCCUACCUCGCACCGGAAUUCCACGCUCCAUGAUUCGGUACUCGCCAAACUCGUUGCAGCCGUAGCAGCAGUACUAGCGACUCGUACGGACAUCUGUCGGAUAGUGCGCUGGGACCGGCGCUUUUGCCGGGUCUACCCGGACAUCACCUGCCUACAGCCAGCAUGUUCCCGCUUCACCAUCCGCUGCAGCUGGGACAUUCUUUGGCCAAGUCGCAGCAAAUCAACAACCUCCGUGUCCAACCACAAGCAAUUCUCUGCAGAAGACAUCCCGCGUCAUACGUGAACCAUCCCCGCACGUCCUAAUGCACAAGAGAAGUCCUUCGAACGGGUCGGCCAUGGUCACCUCAAAUCAUCAGCUAAGCCCAAUGUCAGUUUGAAGUUUGCUGCAAGGCAUACUCCCUGCUUGAGAAACUCAAAACCCUUCUGCGAUCACACACCGGCGAAAAGCCGUACACCGGCGAGUAUCCGGGUUGUAGCAAGGCGUUCAACAACGUGUCCGAUCAUGCAAAACACCAGAACCGCACCUAAAGCAUUGCGAAUCACUACCCGGAGGACAUGCAGAGUGGCAAGACAACGAGCAUGAGCAGUCGGAGCAUCAAGUCGGAGUCGGACGCACACUCGCCGAGUCAACCGCCGAUCAGUAGUCCGAUGUCGAUCUCGGCGCUUACUGCUAGGCUGAUGGACGAUUGCGAUUGCAGCUGGGCAGUCUUGAGGUUGAUCCGGCUUGGCUGUACGCGGACGAGGAUUUGGAGUCGCCGAUCUGCCAUUCGUCCUGCGAGAAAUUGUUGACCUCGGUGGUCUGGCCACAGCGACAGCUGGUGCUCACCUACCGGAAGUACUCGGAAUCGGUUCAAGAACCGAAUCAGGCACAACUCCGUCAUCGCCCCUCGACAAGAACAACUGCCAGACGACGGAUGGGAGUUUUACGACGUCUUCCGCAACACGAUGAUGUUGAACGCGUACCUGAACCCGGAUCAGCUACGGCGGGAUAGCAGCAACAGCACCACGAGCAGUUCUUACUUCAACAUGCGCUUGGCGGAUAUCAGCUGGCGGAGAAGCCAAGCAUCGCUACGGAGCUCGAUCUGGCCGAUGCGUCCUUGCAGCUACUCCAACUCGUCGUUCGACGAUCCGAUCCCAGCGGGAAGUUCGCAGCGGUCCAGUUCAAUGUCUGCGGCAAUGGAUGGAGGCCCGCCAGCAAGUUCCACCCCAACCAGUCGUGUUUGACGAGGUCGAAAAGGGUGAGAUUGCCAAAAAUAAGUUGGACGUAAAGAUUUCCAGCUGCAGUCGCCUGAUAAACCUGCUUCCUCGCCCCAGUUUCCACCUCGAAGGAAGUAAUCGGUAUAACGGUGAACAUCACCUUGGCGGCCGGGACAACCUCCAGCAGCAACGCUUGGUCCUUCUUCUGUUCAUUUAGGUCACGGUAACAGAAAAGGUCGGAUCUGCAGAUGAAUAAUAAAUAAAUAUAUUGAAUAUAUUGUA